rnacentral:rRNA from 1 species
UUAAAUUGAAGAGUUUGAUCAUGGCUCAGAUUGAACGCUGGCGGCAGGCCUAACACAUGCAAGUCGAACGGUAACAGAAAGCAGCUUGCUGCUUUGCUGACGAGUGGCGGACGGGUGAGUAAUGUCUGGGAAACUGCCCGAUGGAGGGGGAUAACUACUGGAAACGGUAGCUAAUACCGCAUAACGUCGCAAGACCAAAGAGGGGGACCUUCGGGCCUCUUGCCAUCGGAUGUGCCCAGAUGGGAUUAGCUAGUAGGUGGGGUAAAGGC